rnacentral:misc_RNA from 1 species
GAUGAAGAACGUAGCGAAAUGGGAUAAGUAGUGUGAAUUGCAGAAUUCAGUGAAUCAUCGAAUCUUUGAACGCACAUUGCGCCCCUUGGUAUUCCAUGGGGCAUGCCUGUUCGAGCGUCAUUUGUACCUUCAAGCUCUGCUUGGUGUUGGGUGUUUGUCUCGCCUCUGCGUGUAGACUCGCCUCAAAACAAUUGGCAGCCGGCGUAUUGAUUUCGGAGCGCAGUACAUCUCGCGCUUUGCACUCAUAACGACGACGUCCAAAAGUACAUUUUUACACUCUUGACCUCGGAUCAGGCAGGGAUACCCGCUGAACUUAAGCAUAUCAAUAAGCGGAGGA